AAAUCUUUUGUAACAUUAUAAAUACAUUUACUGUCACUUUUGAUCACUUUAAGGCAUCCUUGAUUAAUAAAAAUACUAAUGUCUGACCCUAAACGUUUGAAUAGCAAUCUAUUGUGGUUUCCACAGAAAUGUUUUCAACAUUGAUAAUAAUCAAAUCAUCAUAUUAGAAUGAUUUCUGAAGAUCAUGUGACACUGAAGACUGGAGUAAUGAUGCUGAAAAUACAGCUGCGCAUCACAGAAAUAAAAUACACUUUAACAGAGAUUCACAGAGAAAACAGUUAUUUUACAUUCUAAUAAUAUUUCACUGUUUUUACUGUAUUUUGAUCAAAUAAACACAGCUCUGGUGAGCAAAACAGACUUUAAAAUGUUUACCGCUCUCAAACUUUUGAAUGUUAGUGUAUGUUUACCGUUUGAACAGCAGGUGUGAUGAUGUGUGUCUCUGUCUGCAGGUGUCGGCUCCUCUCGCUCCUCUCCGUGGUCUGUCCGAGGCUCCUGUCGCUCCUCUCAGAGGAUCUCUGGGUGCCUCGUGUGGACUCCAGCCGCUCAGAACCUCUCUCGGGGUAAAACAGCAGGCUGGUGUGUCGAGCUCUGCUGCUUCCAGGAGCGUUCAGGAGGAGAGGAGCGCUGAAGAGGACGAGGAGAUCUCCGAGGAAGAGGUGAGUCAGAAACACGCACUGCCUGAGUCCCACUGAACGCUGGAUCAGAUCUAAGUGUGUGUGUGUGUGUGUGUUUAGAGGCCGCGGGAUUCAGCCGGACUGCUGCAGAACCUCCAUCUGGAUCUGGACGCUCUGGGAGCAGGACUGCAGUACGAGGUGAACACAAACACAGCACAUGAAUGCACAUCAGUCGGACUCUCCUCCGUGUGACUGGAGGAAUAGCACUGCAGCGCUGUCAGAGUGGCUGAAAAACUACAUUCGAAUUUUGUACUUAAAUAUAAUCAAUAUCUGAUUUAUAUUUGAAUUUAAAAUGCAUGAUUUCAGUUUGGGGGAAAAAAGCUUUUGGCUUCUCUCUUGAGGCCACAAGAGGGCGCAUCGAGCAAAAUAUUACUAAUGCACGUUUAUUCCGUAAUAAAGGCUAUCUUUGAAAAAAGUGCA
ensembl:lncRNA